AGAUUGAACGCUAGCGGGAGUGCUUUACACAUGCAAGUCGAACGGCAGCGCGGACUUCGGUCUGGCGGCGAGUGGCGAACGGGUGAGUAAUAUAUCGGAACGUGCCCAGUAGCGGGGGAUAACUACGCGAAAGCGUGGCUAAUACCGCAUACGCCCUACGGGGGAAAGGGGGGGAUUCUUCGGAACCUCUCACUAUUGGAGCGGCCGAUAUCAGAUUAGCUAGUUGGUGAGGUAAAGGCUCACCAAGGCGACGAUCUGUAGCUGGUUUGAGAGGACGACCAGCCACACUGGGACUGAGACACGGCCCAGACUCCUACGGGAGGCAGCAGUGGGGAAUUUGGACAAUGGGGGAAACCCUGAUCCAGCCAUCCCGCGUGUGCGAGUGAAGGCCGUUCGGGUUGUUAAAGCUACUUUUUGGCAGGGAAGAAACGGCGCCGCCUAAGUCGGGCGUCACUGACGGUACCUGUACCGAGAACUAAGACCACCGGCGUAAACCUACGUCGUCCAACGGCCACG
rnacentral:rRNA from 1 species